UACGUAGGGUGCGAGCGUUAAUCGGAAUUACUGGGCGUAAAGCGUGCGCAGGCGGUCUGUUAAGACCGAUGUGAAAUCCCCGGGCUUAACCUGGGAACUGCAUUUGUGACUGCAUCGCUGGAGUGCGGCAGAGGGGGAUGGAAUUCCGGCGUGUAGCAGUGAAAUGCGUAGAGAUGUGGAGGAACACCGAUGGCGAAGGCAGCCCCCUGGGUUAACACUGACGCUCAGGCACGAAAGCGUGGGGAGCAACAGG
rnacentral:rRNA from 1 species